rnacentral:lncRNA from 1 species
ACUGAGUUGCCCAAAUAUAAAUACCCCCAGGGAAUACCUUGAGUGUAAGAAUUAUGCUGUUUGUUGAUUAUUUCAGUAAGCAAGUAUUGAAUGCCUUACUGCAAGGCAGACAGGGGAUAGAGUGGACAGACAGACAAGGUCCCUACCCACAUGGAGCAUCCAUACGGCUCAAAGGCAACACAGCAUCAAGGCAAAGGAUGGUAAGAAGCACAUGCCUUAGCAGAGCACAGGCCACACCCCGUACAGGAGACUGGGUUAGACUGGAAUCUGGAGGUUGAGUGAGAGCUCCCUCAGUACAGUGAGCUCCUUGGUGGACAUGCGCAGAGGAUUUCAACCAGAGAGCCGGAAGUUCAAGGAACUGAAAGAAUCUGCGUGUGGACGCUUAAAGUGUGGAGCCUAAAGGGAAGGAGAAAACAGAAAGAAAACACAAACUAAGAAGAAUGGAGGUUAGACUGGAUUAAAGUUGUUCACGGAAGAGCUGCAGCCCUUUCCAUCUCUCUUCCUUCAGUUUGAAGCCCAAUCACUGGAAAAAUACAUACAUCAACAGCUGCCCACUCACGCCCUGCCCAAAUUGCAAUUCGUGUCUUCAAACUGUCUUUGUUUACACCAGAGAAAUUCAAUUAGAGCAGGUAAUACACAUGAGCAGCAUUCCCAAUGGACCCACAGUCUUAUCAAUGAUUUCCUGUCAGUUCAAUGUUAAGUUUGGCUAAAAAUUUUGGAAGCACCAAAUAUCACACAACUACAAUGACUUGGGG